UACGAAGGGGGCUAGCGUUGCUCGGAAUCACUGGGCGUAAAGCGCACGUAGGCGGCUUCUAAGAUCAGGGGUGAAAUCCUGGAGCUCAACUCCAGAACUGCCUUUGAUACUGGAGAGCUUGAGUCCGGGGAGAGGUGAGUGGAACUCCGAGUGUAGAGGUGAAAUUCGUAGAUAUUCGCAAGAACACCAGUGGCGAAGGCGGCUCACUGGCCCGGUACUGACGCUGAGGCACGAAAGCGUGGGGAGCAAACAGGG
rnacentral:rRNA from 1 species